rnacentral:rRNA from 1 species
CAGUCGCCACGGGAAUACGUAGGUGGCAAGCGUUGUCCGGAAUUAUUGGGCGUAAAGGGCUCGCAGGCGGUUUCUUAAGUCUGAUGUGAAAGCCCACGGCUCAACCGUGGAGGGUCAUUGGAAACUGUUAAACUUGAGUGCAGGAGAGAAAAGUGGAAUCCCUAGUGUAGCGGUGAAAUGCGUAGAGAUCAGGAGGAACACCAGUGGCGAAGGCGGCUUUUUGGCCUGUAACUGACACUGAGGCGCGAAAGCGUGGGGAGCAAACAGGAUUAGAUACCCCGGUAGUCCCUGUCUCUUAUAC